rnacentral:rRNA from 1 species
UAGCAUAUCAAUAAGCGGAGGAAAAGAAACCAACAGGGAUUGCCUCAGUAACGGCGAGUGAAGCGGCAACAGCUCAAAUUUGAAAUCUGGCGCAAGCCCGAGUUGUAAUUUGUAGAGGAUGCUUCAGGGCAGCGGCCGGUCUAAGUUCCUUGGAACAGGACGUCAUAGAGGGUGAGAAUCCCGUAUGCGACCGGUUGGCACCCGUCACGUAGCUCCUUCGACGAGUCGAGUUGUUUGGGAAUGCAGCUCUAAAUGGGUGGUAAAUUCCAUCUAAAGCUAAAUACCGGCCAGAGACCGAUAGCGCACAAGUAGAGUGAUCGAAAGAUGAAAAGCACUUUGGAAAGAGAGUUAAAAAGCACGUGAAAUUGUUGAAAGGGAAGCGCAUGCAACCAGACUUGUCGGCGGUGUUCCGCCGGUCUUCUGACCGGUCUACUCGCCGCCGGCAGGCCAGCAUCAUCUGGGUGCGCCGGAUAAAGGCGUGGGGAAUGUAGCUCCUCGGAGUGUUAUAGCCCCGCGCACAAUACGGCGCCGCCCGGGUGAGGUCCGCGCUUCGGCUAGGAUGCUGGCGUAAUGGUUGUAUGCGGCCCGUCUUGAAACACGGACCAAGGAGUCUAACAUCUAUGCGAGUGUUCGGGUGUCAAACCCCUACGCGGAAUGAAAGUGAACGGAGGUGGGAAGCGCAAGCUGCACCAUCGACCGAUCCUGAUGUCUUCGGAUGGAUUUGAGUAAGAGCAUAGCUGUUGGGACCCGAAAGAUGGUGAACUAUGCCUAAAUAGGGUGAAGCCAGAGGAAACUCUGGUGGAGGCUCGCAGCGGUUCUGACGUGCAAAUCGAUCGUCAAAUUUGGGUAUAGGGGCGAAAGACUAAUCGAACCAUCUAGUAGCUGGUUCCUGCCGA